GAAGAGGAGGAAGGGCUGUUAACCGUUGUCAUUGUUUUUUCUCUAAUAUUUCCUACCAAGCAACUGCUUUGGGAUAAUAACAAAAUGAUUUCACUAUGGAAAAAAGAUGCAGAGAAAAGGAACUGGAGCUGUUUGAUUGGCUAAUAAUGAACAUAAAGGACUUCAUGCUUGUUGAAUGGCAGAUUGAAAUCCACAUGAUGACCAGACCUGAACCCCAGGUGCAAUCUAAUCAGCAAAGAAGACCCCCCAAGGAUUUUCGCCUCUUGAGACAUAGAUACAGUGCUUCUGUGUCACAUCCCUGGUAUCUACGUCAUGCCGUCUUAUAUUACGUUUCUUGGAUAUUUUAACCUUUAAAUGGCUAAACUUGUCUGCAAAAAAAGCCUGCUCCCUGGCCACAAAGGGUUAGCACUGGAGAGCUGCAGAGAGGAGGCUGGAGAUUGGUCCUGAGAACACACCAGAGCUUUUCAGACUUCUGCUGGUGCUCCUCAUUGGCCUAACCCAACCAGAAGCUGAAGGGCAAGACUACCAAUUGAUGCAAUCCGUAAAGCAUGGUCAACUAAGAAGUAUCACGUUGAGUUGGAGAAACCCAAGACUGGAGCCUGGAAUGGUGAGCCACUACAUGGGGAACAGAUGUCCUGACGAGCCCCCGGACCUGUAGUGGAUUUAGUGUGAACAAAACUUUCGUUGUGUUAAUGCCUGAAGAUUUGGGAGGAUGUUUAUUACCAUAGCCUAAUCUGGCCUAGUCUAAUAUCCCGGUAGGUGGAUACACACACACACACACACACACACACACACACACACACACACGUCAAGAAGAAUGUGCAGAGCCAGCUCUUGGUUCUAUUUCUAAUCAUAUCUUCUAAUUCUCACAAAUUACACAGAGGAUGGGGGUUAGAGAUGACUCCUCUCCUCUCCCUGUUGCCUCCAGCUCCUCACCCGGGGUACUGGGAACCUUGGCUCUCAGGGUCACCUCUUGUGCUUGCUUCUCAGGUGGUCAUCACUCAUACCCAAGCUACUUGUCCUGACUCCCCUCACUCCCUCCCGGGGUCUGGCAGCAUUCCCUUCCUAGCCUCUGGUAUGCAUUUCAACCAUUCUGUUUUGUUCUGCGGGUAGGGCUCAAGGUAUUUAGGAUUCUUGUGUAUGGAUAAUCUUCAGGGCAGUGAGAAUUUUCCCCUGUCAGGCAGGGAUUCAUAGAGUCAUGAGGCUAAAAGAAUCCAGUGCUCUGGAUUGUGUGUACCUUGUUCUGCCUGUGUCUCAGGAAGAGGUGUUUUGUGUAUGGGGAGAGGUAGCAAGAGGGAGAAACAGACCACCCUUCCUGCCACACUAAGAGACAAGAAAAUGAAGCCCAUCUCUGGUAGGAUUCUGUGGAUUCGCAGUAAAUGCCAAUAAUGAUGACGCCUGACUUUUCAUUUAUAUGGUCUUAUUUUGUUUCUGCCCUAACCUGAAUGUGGUGUCAAGGGAACUAUUAAUGACUGCUAUUCAGGGACAUGUGACUUGGUAUUUAUAUAUUACCUGCCCACUUCAUAAAGUGCUAAUGAAUGUUUGCAAAGCUCUUUGAAAUCCUCUGGUGAAAGGUGCAACGUUAAGUGAAAAAUAUUAUUAUUAUUAUUAGAAGGUAAUAGACAGCUUUGAAUGAUUGGUCAUAAGAAUAACUGACAUAGCAUUAAAAGAAGUGCCAGAAAUCAUCCAGACGGUUCCAGCUCCUCCGGCCCAUCAGCCUCCACAUUACAUAUAUUACACUGUUUCCCUGACACCCAUUCUAAUAACUGUAUAAUUCACACAUUAAAUCACCACUUCCAGGGAAAGGUUGAGCUCACUCACAGCUCUAUUGAUGGUGACACUGAGAGGGUAUUAAAUGUUGGAAGGUCUAAAAUGGAGAAGUGCUCUUAGGUGGAGAGGCCAGAUAGAGCCACUGAGUGGCCACCAUGUUUAAGGGGAUAUGAGAAGGGAAUGAAUCAGAAGCACCUUGGAAAUGGAGAGGAGACUUUAAAAUAGAUGUGAGAUUGAAAAGCCGUGAGAACAAUCAAAAUCUGAAGUGAGAUAGCCGACACAUAGCCAUACUCUUUAUUGCGUGCCUUCUCUGGUUUGAAAAAAUAGCGAUAACACAGACAGGUUUUGGUUUCCUACUUCCUUUAGCCUGGAGUUGUUUAACAUUUCUGUCUUCUGCAUAACAUUCAGUCUCAGAGUUGGCAAGUUAGGUCCGAUCUUGCUAACUCUGGUUGGAUGGCAGUGGCCGUCUAAGUGUGGUAUUAAGAAUCAUGGGGGCACAUUUGGACUUGGCAGGAAAGAGUGCUGUGAUGCAUUAGCAAUGUCUCUGCCUAGGGAGAGGGAGAGGAAGAAUGGCAUGUAUGUGGGUGAGGUCUGACUAGAGGUAAAAAUGGCCAAAAAGGACGGCAUGGACUUAGUUCAAGGUUGCUUUUAUUCUGACUUAUAACCAAAGCUAUUACAAAGUAGUCUAAGGAAUGCCUCUUGGUCACCCGUCUCUGGAGGCCAGAGGACCUUGUGUUCCUGGUCCCAUAGGAUUGUAAUAAUCCAUGUCCCCCACGAAGGAGCUCCUACCCCUGUCUAGCACCCUGAUUUUUCUGACUUCUGCCAGGAGGCACUUCUAUAUUGCCUGGGUUUUGUUGCCAGUAGAGCUUAUGCCCAUGAAUUCUACAGGACUAUAACCAACCGAGAAACAGUUCUUUUUUUUUUUUUUUUAAUGCUUAUUUAUAUAUUUUGAGGGGGGAGGAGCACAGAGAGAGAGGGGAACAGAGAAUCCCAAGCAGGCUCCAUGCUGUCAGUGCAGAGCUGGAUCACGGGGCUUGAACUCAUGAACCGUGAGAUGGUGAUCUGAGCUGAAACCAAGAGUUAGAUGUUUGACUGAGUACCCGGGCACCCCAACAGAGAAACAGUUCUUAAACAUUUACCACCCCUAGGGCACCACAAGAGGCAACAAGCCCAGGAACUGGGUUUGUCUGUGCUGGAAGCCUAUUAGCUGAUCAUCAUGAGUGCGGCCUGAGGGGUGGGCUUCUGAUUAGGAACGCAUCUUGGGGUGACAGUAAUUCUUUCCAGAGACCUCAUAGGGCAGGUGCUGUCUUCAUUCUCACCCUCUGUUGCACUCCAGAGUGCCCGUGUCUCCUGGAGGGAGCGUUACAUGAUUCUGGUGUCCUGCAUUUUGUGUCUGGAACUCCAGUUUUUGCAGCUGUCACCUCAGGGAUGCCCCUUGAUUGCCUGGCUCUGGUGGCCAGGGGCGCUUGCAUUCCUGGGCCCCAAGAGACUGUAACAAUCAGAGAGAUGGUUCUUGGCAGGCUGUCAUCCCCAGGGCACUGCACAGACAGCAGACUGGGAUACAUUCCCCAGUCCUUCUGUAAAGGAGGCUUGUCUUGGAGUUUUGGUCUGAGGGGUAGUACUCCGGUCUGGCAAAUAUUUAGUGACCUGUGGAAAUGCUCUCAAGAAACAUUGGCCGAAGGAGCGCCUGGGUGGCUCAGUCAGUUAAGUAUCCAACUUCAGCUCGGGUCAUGAGCUCGUGGUUCGUGAGUUCGAGCCCCACAUUGGGCUCUGUGCUAACAGCUCGGAGCCGGGAGCCUGCUUUGGAUUCUGUG